GGAGGCGGGUGGUGAUCUGGCUGCAACAUCUGUCAACCCAUUAAUUGUCAGCGUCGAUUCUGCUGAACUGGCUGGCUAGGCGGUUGUCCCCUUCCUCUCUCUCACUACUCCAUGUGUGUCCCUCCAGAGCAGAAGGCUUGGUUGAAGAGGACAAGCUUCCCCGAUAGAAGGAGACUAUUCUUUGAUCGGGGUAUGUGAGUAGCUGCCCUCCCCUGCUAGAAACUUCAACCAAGCUUAACUCAGUGCUCACAAAACUGUAGGAAGUUUGAUAAUGCUAUGACCCCCAUUUUGUAAGUUAGGAAACUGACUUAGGGAGCUUCUGAAUCUU
rnacentral:snRNA from 10 species